AUUGAACGCUGGCGGCAGGCCUAACCCAUGCAAGUCGAACGAGUGGCGGACGGGUGAGUAAUGUCUGGGAAACUGCCUGAUGGAGGGGGAUAACUACUGGACACGGUAGCUAAUACCGCAUACCAUCAGAUGUUCCCAGUUGGGUUUAGCUUGUUGGUGGGGUAACGGCUCACAAAGGCGACGAUCCCUAGCUGGUCUGAGAGGAUGACCAGCCACACGGGAACUGAGACACGGUCCAGACUCGUACGGGAGGAAGCAGUGGGGAAUAUUGCACAAUGGGCGAAAGCCUGAUGCAGCCAUGCCGCGUGUAUGAAGAAGGCCUUAGGGUUGUAAAGUACGUUAAGCGGGGAGGCGUUACCAGCAGAAGAAGCACCGGCUAACUCCGUGCCAGCAGCCGCGGUAAUUC
rnacentral:rRNA from 1 species